rnacentral:lncRNA from 1 species
UACACACACAAUCAGCCGCAUGCACCCCAACCCUUUUCCCUCUUCCCUCUCUCGAUUACACACCUGCCAUCGGAGAAACUCUGUUCGGCCGGCACCGUUCACCGGCGACCUCUCCGUCGCACACCCAUGAUCUCCUCCUUCUCCACCGGCCAUGAACACAACUUUGCCUCCCUCCUCUCCCCUCGGUUUCACGGCGCGAAGUCCACAGCCGGUCACUGAUAAUACACCGGUAAUGGCCGACAGUGGUCGUGGUGCUGUUUUCUAAGCCGCGACCCAGCCCCGUCUUUCCCUUGUCCUCUCUCUUGACCCCUCUCAGGUCCGGUCAAUGCUGGUUGUCUUUAUGGCGACCCACCGGUAACGGAAUGAUAACGAUGAUGAUGAACUACAGACGAUGAUGACGAUGUUGUGAUGAAUGGUGAAGGAUGACAACGACGGUGGUGACUAUGCCAGGUAAGUUCCAGCUUCGGGUUCGAGUUCGGUUUGGUUUCGGUUCGUUCAGGAUGGUCAGACUCCAGCGGGUUCGUUUCGAAGCAGGUCGGGUUCGACUCAGGUAACCAGUCAGCAGAUUCGGUUCGGAUCUCGUCUGGUUCAGUCUUGGGUCGCACAACCACAUGUUCCUCACCAUUCGGACGUGUUUGAUGGACUAUUAAGCAAGUAACUAACCUUACCGAGCAAACCAAGGUGAGUUCACACUUUCUACAAGGCAUGGGAUUCCCAGGGGUUGGGAAUGGGUAAAGGAUUUAAACUGAAACUGCAUGAUCUCCUGGUUUGGGACACGUACACACCCUCUUUAUUGAAGGGUGACAACACGUGAUAAGAAUAUAAUCGGAACCUGCGUAAUCUCCUGGUUUGGGGAUUACGUACACACCCUCUUUAUUGAAGUGUGACAACACGGAUACUAGACCAAAACUCUCUAUCAUGAAGUCCCUCCUUUUAUAUCGACUUAAUCGCCGGGCCAAUGGCGAGCGGGUCAUUAGUUAGAUAGCGCUAUUUAGGUUUGACAAGCCUCACACCGUGCCGCAGAGGACGGGCGUGAACUAAUGGAUCUGGGCACGUCAAUGAUGAUAGACAUUGACAUUAGGGCACCAACUUACUUCAGUCAGUGGUCGAUAUGGUAAACGGGUCUAGUGGUUCACAUGGGGAAGCCCCCGCUGGUUAUGGUUUGGGAAGAAGGAAUUGGUUAAUCAUAUUUGCAACUAUGGGGUAACCCCCACGACAAGUCUAUAUGCUUAUAUUAGUUGCAACUUGUUGUCUGGGAAGCUGGAGUGGUCAUGGGUCGAGAUACAUGGAAUCGCAAUACAAGCUCAAUGGUUUAUGUACUCUUGGUCUACUAAACACUUAACAAAUGAUUUAUGCUUCCGCUGUACAAAAUGAAUGAUAUGUAACGUUUGUAACGCUUUAUAUUAAUAAAUGAAAGUUUUAUUA